rnacentral:rRNA from 1 species
AGUGAACGCUGGCGGUAGGUCUAACACAUGCAAGUCGAACGGCAGCACAGUAAGAGCUUGCUCUUACGGGUGGCGAGUGGCGGACGGGUGAGGAAUACAUCGGAAUCUACUAUUUCGUGGGGGAUAACGUAGGGAAACUUACGCUAAUACCGCAUACGACCUACGGGUGAAAGCAGGGGAUCUUCGGACCUUGCGCGAUUGAAUGAGCCGAUGUCGGAUUAGCUAGUUGGCGGGGUAAAGGCCCACCAAGGCGACGAUCCGUAGCUGGUCUGAGAGGAUGAUCAGCCACACUGGAACUGAGACACGGUCCAGACUCCUACGGGAGGCAGCAGUGGGGAAUAUUGGACAAUGGGCGCAAGCCUGAUCCAGCCAUACCGCGUGGGUGAAGAAGGCCUUCGGGUUGUAAAGCCCUUUUGUUGGGAAAGAAAAGCAGCAGGUUAAUACCCCGCUGUUCUGACGGUACCCAAAGAAUAAGCACCGGCUAACUUCGUG